rnacentral:rRNA from 1 species
CCUACGGGUGGCAGCAGUCGAGAAUUAUUCACAAUGGGGGAAACCCUGAUGGUGCGACGCCGCGUGGGGGAAUGAAGGUCUUCGGAUUGUAAACCCCUGUCAUGUGGGAGCAAAUUAAAAAGAUAGUACCACAAGAGGAAGAGACGGCUAACUCUGUGCCAGCAGCCGCGGUAAUACAGAGGUCUCAAGCGUUGUUCGGAAUCACUGGGCGUAAGGCGUGCGUAGGCUGUUUCGUAAGUCGUGUGUGAAAGGCGCGGGCUCAACCCGCGGACGGCACAUGAUACUGCGAGACUAGAGUAAUGGAGGGGGAACCGGAAUUCUCGGUGUGGCAGUGAAAUGCGUAGAUAUCGAGAGGAACACUCGUGGCGAAGGCGGGUUCCUGGACAUUAACUGACGCUGAGGCACGAAGGCCAGGGGAGCGAAAGGGAUUAGAUACCCGAGUAGUC